rnacentral:misc_RNA from 1 species
UACGGAGGAUCCAAGCGUUAUCCGGAAUCAUUGGGCUUAAAGGGUCCGUAGGCGGGCUAUUAAGUCAGAGGUGAAAGUCUGCAGCUUAACCGUAGAAUUGCCAUUGAUACUGUUGUUCUUGAGUGUUUAUGAAGUGGUUAGAAUAUGUAGUGUAGCGGUGAAAUGCAUAGAUAUUACAUAGAAUACCGAUUGCGAAGGCAGAUCACUAAGAAAAUACUGACGCUGAUGGACGAAAGCGUGGGUAGCGAACAGG